UACGUAGGGUGCAAGCGUUAAUCGGAAUUACUGGGCGUAAAGCGAGCGCAGGCGGUUGUGUAAGACAGAUGUGAAAUCCCAGGGCUCAACCUUGGAACUGCAUUUGUGACUGCACGGCUAGAGUGCGUCAGAGGGGGGUGGAACUCCACGUGUAGCAGUGAAAUGCGUAGAGAUGUGGAAGAACACCGAUGGCGAAGGCAGCCCCCUGGGAUGACACUGACGCUCAUGCUCGAAAGCGUGGGGAGCAAACAGG
rnacentral:rRNA from 1 species